rnacentral:lncRNA from 1 species
CAGUCUGGAGGGAGGCCAGAAUGCCUCUCUCUGUGUAUCUCUUUUGCCUGGACCUGAGAACACGUCAGCAUUUCAAUGCAUUUAUCCAGGUUCCAUUCCCAUUUUUCCCAUUUUCCUCUAAACAGGCUGCCUCUACUCUCCAAGUUGACUCCAUUCAAUCUCUUGCGGCUGCUGCUUCCCUAACUCUGAGUCCUUGCCUUCUGCUACAUUUGGUUACAAUUAACGUCCAGCUUGUCUUCUAGACCUCACCUGCUCUGGGCUCUGGACCCAGAUAGGCACCAGCAAUACUUCUCCGAGGAGUGUGCUUCCCAUUCA